GGAAAGGGGAGGGGCGGCGGAAGUGGAGACGAGGCACAGCUUUCUGGAGGUCUUCAGGAGCUGCUUCGUCAGGCCAUAGUUGCUGUUGUUAUGAUCUGCGCAACACCUCCUUUCAGCGACUUCAGUCCCCCCAACACACUACCAGCCUGCCCCUGCCUGUCGAGGACAUUGCUGGAGUUCCGUAGCCCACCGAGGGUCAGGGAGCUUGUCGAGAUUCCUGUGCCAAAGUUAUCAGAGGAGAGCAAUUACCCACCGGUGAGAACACAGUGCCAGAGCCACUCCCACAAUCCCACAAGAAUGUAUAAAAUGCCUGCAUAUUCCUACAAACCAUUCAUUUAGUCCUUUGCAGCAUGAUCUCUGUGCCAUUAGAAGACUGCAUCUUGAAACUCUGGUGUCAGCACUAUAAGAGUAGCAUGAGCUGAUGCCUGUAGACUCAAAACACCAAAUAUUUCAAAAUAUUUAAAAAUGUAUGUAUAUAUAUGUAC
rnacentral:lncRNA from 1 species